rnacentral:tRNA from 1 species
ACCUGGGUGGCUCAGUAGUGAAGCAUCUGAUUUCGGCUCAGGUCACGAUCUCUUGGUUUGAGAGUUCGAGUCCCACUUCGGGUG